CUUUCUACCGAACGGGGAGCCGUUCGGUAGUUUCUACAUAAAGUGACGGCAGUGUGGAGGUCUCAGCGGUGUUUGCCUAACUGAGUGUCCGAUUUGGGUUCCAGACACUCGAUGGCAAAACACCGCUGUUCGGGAGUUUAAGAUGGCCGCCGCCACGUGUUCGUCUCCCGAAUGGCGGCCACCCAGAGGACAAAGCACACACUGCACUGAUUGCCAAUUACCUGUUUGCAACAUUGUU